GAUGAACGCUGGCGGCGUGCUUAACACAUGCAAGUCGAACGAAGCACUUUAUUUGAUUUCCUUCGGGACUGAUUAUUUUGUGACUGAGUGGCGGACGGGUGAGUAACGCGUGGGUAACCUGCCUUGUACAGGGGGAUAACAGUUGGAAACGGCUGCUAAUACCGCAUAAGCGCACGGCAUCGCAUGAUGCAGUGUGAAAAACUCCGGUGGUAUAAGAUGGACCCGCGUUGGAUUAGCUAGUUGGUGAGGUAACGGCCCACCAAGGCGACGAUCCAUAGCCGACCUGAGAGGGUGACCGGCCACAUUGGGACUGAGACACGGCCCAAACUCCUACGGGAGGCAGCAGUGGGGAAUAUUGCACAAUGGGCGAAAGCCUGAUGCAGCGACGCCGCGUGAGCGAAGAAGUAUUUCGGUA
rnacentral:rRNA from 1 species